rnacentral:tRNA from 1 species
AGCCCCGUAGUGUAGUGGUCAAUCAUCCCGGACUUUGGAUCCGGUGACGGCAGUUCGAAUCUGCCCGGGGCUA